rnacentral:rRNA from 1 species
GAUGAACGCUAGCGGCAGGCCUAACACAUGCAAGUCGAGGGGCAGCACAUGAGUAGCAAUACGAUGGUGGCGACCGGCGCACGGGUGAGUAACACGUAUGCAACCUGCCUGUAAGAGGGGGAUAACCCGGAGAAAUUCGGACUAAUACCGCAUAAUACCACGAGACUGCAUGGUUUUGUGGUUAAAACAUUUAUGGCUUACAGAUGGGCAUGCGUAUGAUUAGAUAGUUGGUAGGGUAACGGCCUACCAAGUCUACGAUCAUUAGGGGUUCUGAGAGGAAGGUCCCCCACACUGGUACUGAGACACGGACCAGACUCCUACGGGAGGCAGCAGUGAGGAAUAUUGGUCAAUGGGCGAGAGCCUGAACCAGCCAAGUCGCGUGAAGGAAGAAGGUUCUAUGGAUUGUAAACUUCUUUUGCAGGGGAAUAAAGGGACGGUACGUGUACUGUUUUGUAUGUACUGCGAAUAAGGAUCGGCUAACUCCGUGCCAGCAGCCGAC